rnacentral:rRNA from 1 species
GAUGAACGCUGGCGGCGUGCCUAAUACAUGCAAGUCGAGCGAACAGACGAGGAGCUUGCUCCUCUGACGUUAGCGGCGGACGGGUGAGUAACACGUGGAUAACCUACCUAUAAGACUGGGAUAACUUCGGGAAACCGUAGCUAAUACCGGAUAAUAUAUUGAACCGCAUGGUUCAAUAGUGAAAGACGGUUUUGCUGUCACUUAUAGAUGGAUCCGCGCCGCAUUAGCUAGUUGGUAAGGUAACGGCUUACCAAGGCAACGAUGCGUAGCCGACCUGAGAGGGUGAUCGGCCACACUGGAACUGAGACACGGUCCAGACUCCUACGGGAGGCAGCAGUAGGGAAUCUGCCGCAAAGGGCGAAAGCCUGACGGAGCAACGCCGCGUGAGUGAUGAAGGUCUUCGGAUCGUAAAACUCUGUUAUUAGGGAAGAACAAAUGUGUAAGUAACUAUGCACAUCUUGACGGUACCUAAUCAGAAAGCCACGGCUAACUACGUG